rnacentral:rRNA from 1 species
UCGGAACAUGCCCAGUCGUGGGGGAGUAACACUUCGAAAGAAGUGCUAAUACCGCAUACGUCCUGAGGGAGAAAGCGGGGGAUCGCAAGACCUCGCGCGAUUGGAGUGGCCGAUGUCAGAUUAGCUAGUUGGUGGGGUAAAGGCCUACCAAGGCAACGAUCUGUAGCUGGUCUGAGAGGAUGAUCAGCCACACUGGGACUGAGACACGGCCCAG